GUAGGGAAUAUUGGGCAAUGGAUGCAAGUCUGACCCAGCCAUCCCGCGUGCCGGAAGAAGGCCCUCAGGGUUGUAAACGGCUUUUGACGGUGAAGAAUCGACAGGAUGCGUCCUGUUUUGACGGUAGCCGUUGAAUAAGCACCGGCUCACUCCGUGCCAGCAGCCGCGGUAAUACGGAGGGUGCGAGCGUUGUCCGGAUUUAUUGGGUUUAAAGUGUGCGUAGGCUGGAAGGUCAGUCAGCGGUGAAAAGCUGUCGCUUAACGAUAGUCUUGCCGCAGAUACUUCCUUUCUUGGAUGAGGAGGAGGCCACUGGAACGGAUGGUGUAGCGGUGAAAUGCAUAGAUAUCAUCCAGAACACCGAUUGCGAAGGCAGGUGGCUGUACCUUAAUCGACGCUGAUGCACGAAAGCAUGGGUAGCAAACAGGAUUAGAUACCCGAGUAGUCC
rnacentral:rRNA from 1 species